AUGUCACUUUCAGGACAUGUAAUCACCUGCAGUUCACUCAGAAUUCAGUGACCAUUGGUAGUGGACUUGCCAUAUCGUCUUUAAAUACGAUCUAAAUUGAGCAAUUCCAGCAUUACGGAUA